rnacentral:rRNA from 1 species
AUUGAACGCUGGCGGCAUGCCUUACACAUGCAAGUCGAACGGUAACAGGUUAAGCUGACGAGUGGCGAACGGGUGAGUAAUAUAUCGGAACGUGCCCAGUCGUGGGGGAUAACUGCUCGAAAGAGCAGCUAAUACCGCAUACGACCUGAGGGUGAAAGCGGGGGAUCGCAAGACCUCGCGCGAUUGGAGCGGCCGAUAUCAGAUUAGGUAGUUGGUGGGGUAAAGGCCCACCAAGCCAACGAUCUGUAGCUGGUCUGAGAGGACGACCAGCCACACUGGGACUGAGACACGGCCCAGACUCCUACGGGAGGCAGCAGUGGGGAAUUUUGGACAAUGGGCGCAAGCCUGAUCCAGCCAUGCCGCGUGCGGGAAGAAGGCCUUCGGGUUGUAAACCGCUUUUGUCAGGGAAGAAAAGGUUCUGGUUAAUACCUGGGACUCAUGACGGUACCUGAAGAAUAAGCACCGGCUAACUACGUGCCAGCAGCCGCGGUAAUACGUAGGGUGCAAGCGUUAAUCGGAAUUACUGGGCGUAAAGCGUGCGCAGGCGGUUAUGCAAGACAGAGGUGAAAUCCCCGGGCUCAACCUGGGAAC